CUACCCACAGUUCCACACUAAUCCCCAUUAUCUCAUCUCGCGUCGCCCCGAUCCAAUCUUGCGCUGUCUCCUUCCUUUCCCCGUCUCGAUCCAAUCUGCUCGCAUCCCCUCCGCCGCUCCUCUCCAGCAGCCCCCACGCUCCCACUCCCGCCCCGUCCACCUCCGCCGCCCCAUCAUCGAUGCAACAACCACCGCCACCGCUGCCAUCGAGGCCCCGGAGGAAGCCGUUGCAGCACCGGUGGUGGAAGAGGCGCCGCCGACGCCGCCGACGCCGCAGGCAGCCGCGCUCGGUAGGAGCAGCCUCUGCACGGGAGAAUUCUCCACAUGAUCUGGUGACGCAAGCCGUCGACCCACCUGAAGAACUCCGUGUCGUGCGGCUGCUCUUCUGGACGCUCUCGGCGCUGCUCGUCCAUGGCGUGAUCUCCGCUGCCGCUGCCUCCAACCACGCCGACCUCUUGCUCCAGUUCUUCCAGUUGGCUUAUAGCUGGGUGGGUUCUGGGCUUCUGGCCGGAGCCAGCCACCGUGGCGUUCCUCUACCACGCCCGCUGCAUCCUCCUCGAGACCAUGCCGCCCUUCUCUGUUUCCCUGAUGAGGCCACGGUCGCAGGCAUUUUGGGGCGCUGCUCCCAUCCAAAUGCUUUGUUGUGGCGCUCCUCCUCUCAUUCUCUCCAUUUAAAUCUUUGAGCAGGAAAUCAAUGGCGCUUUCUCGCUGUGCAGGAGUGGACAUGUUCAGCGCGUGUGGGAUUUCUCAAGUUCAAAGCUGACAUCGUCGAUGAGAAGACUGAACGCAAGCAGGCUGAAGGUGGAGGAGGGCGUGGACGGGAUUUGGUCCCGGCAUUGCACUCGGAGAUGCUCUAAUAUUUAAGGAGUCCUUGUUUCUUAUAUUAUUAUUUUAUCACAUUGCCAUCAAAUUAAAAUGCUUGUUUGAGUAAAUAGCACAUAAUGUACUAGUAACUCUUUGCUACUACCAUUAUUGGCAAGUUUUUGUAAGUAAUCUUUCUAGUCAAGCACUUGUUUAUCAUCUAUAGUAAUCUUAAGUUUUGCCAUUUUUCUCUUCUGGAUUUUCUCAUCUUGUUUUCAUAGGCUUGCUGGCUGCGUCUUCUAUUUUACUUGGUACACUUGUUAGACCCCAAAGCGUUGAAAUCUUCAUUUUUUGUUAAUACAAUAUUUAAGGAGUACUACGUUACAGAAUCUAUUUUGUUAAUUUUUACCAUCAAUGCAAAGACAAACAUGUAUUUGCAUGCUAAUUUUGCUAAAGGACAGACCCAGUGCAUAGAAGCUCCCACACAAGGUGGGGUCUGGGGAGGGAUUAUAGGAACCUAGUCUUACCCCUGCAAAGUGCAAUGCAGAGAGGCUGGUUCGAACCCAGGACCUCUUGGCACAAGUGGGGAGGACUUCACCACUGCGCCAGGCCUGCCCUCUUGCAUGCUAAUUUUGCUACUUUAUUAAAUUCAUGUCUGUUUUAGAAAGUACAGAUGCGCAUGAAAAAUUGUUGCAUUGUCUAAGGUCCAAUUCCAAACGAGUUGAAGCAGAAUUCAUUUUGUUAGUUUUAUGACACAUGCUAGUAAGUAUUUUGCAAUUCAUUUAGUUCCACUCUUUUUCAUCUUGUAGGUUUAGGUACUACAAGCAUGCCACUAGCUCGGGAGAGUGAGAGGGAAAGGAGGGCAUUCCUCGCGGAACAUAAAUGCAUAGGUUGUGUGUAUGCUAAGCUAAGGGGGGCAUUGAUUACAUGUACUUUAACCAUUAUACCUCUAGCUCUAGGUUAUGCAUGUUAUCUUGUCAGUUUUCAUCUCAUUAUGAUGCAACGUUGUUGUGUUUGUCAUUUAUAGGCAUCGGGAGGAGUUAGCCGCAAGACCUGAAGCACAAGAGAGAGCAUUUGAAGCGAUACAAAAGAAGCAUCAAGAAGAAUUGGAAGCUCUAAAGAAGAUCCAACAAGAGAAGAAUGAAGCCUGGCAAAGAAGCAAAAGGAGACGUAUAAUCUGCUUGAUUUUCUCUUGAGGGAUCAAGUAGUCCCAAUCCAAACUAGAUGGUUCAUGAAAGCCAUCCUUACAUUGCAAUUGUCAGGACAACAUCUGUGGUCUUUACAACUAUUUUCAUCUUGUCUAUUGUCUGUCAAACUUGAGUCAGUUUUUUACCCUCAUUUUUGUUUACAGAAUGAUUUGGCUGAGACGAUUUCAUAUAUAAUACGAUUUGUCUUUCAUAUCAA